GCCCGUGCUCCGCAACAAGAGAAGCCACCGCAAUGAGAAGCCCGCGCACCGCAACGAAGAGUAGCCCCCGCUCGCCCCAACUGGAGAAAGCCCACGCGCAGCAACAAAGACCCAACGCUGCCAAAAAUAAAUAAAUAAAUUUCAAAAAAAGAAAAGAAAUAAGCCUCCAGAAAUCCGGAGCACUGAGACAAUAUUAAUUGAGCUGGGUUAGCACAUGUAGCGCAUGCACCCGGCUCCCGGGGCUGAUGAGGGGAUGACAGAUGAACCCAAGUGGGGCAAGAGGACGCGCCAAGGGCUCCAUUUAAUAAAUCAGCUGACACUCCCCUGCAUUUGCAUUGCUAAUGGCGGUACCUAAACCCCAGGUGUUGCUGCAGAAACUUGUCCUGCUGCUGCCUCCCCAUCUGUAACUCCCAAGGGAGUUGGCAAAGGGUAGCAGGGUGCUGGGUGGUGAGGUCUGAAACACAUUUUAAAAUCAGCCUGGAGCUGGCGGAUAACGACAUGUCCAAAAGAUCUGGCCACACAUGUGUAGGUUUGGUGUCCUAACGAGCACCUCAAAGCCUGGGUCACAGGGUCCCCAAGGCAGAGCUGUGCUGGAAUGGGGCACCAGGGCAUCCAGCCCCCAGAUGCCUCCUUCUCAGGCUACUGAGCUCCCAGACAUUCCACCAUGAGUUCAUUUGCUCACCAGAGAGGACCUCCAGAUACAAUGAGAAGUUGGCAGUCUACAACCAGAAGAGGGUCCUCACCAGAACCCAACCAUGCUGGCACCUUGAUCUUGGACAUGCAGCCACCAGAACUGUUUCUUCACCCAUCUCAUGCUGUGUUGGUACUUCCACCUGCCUUGAGGCUGUUUCCCAAGGCAGAAUCAAACAGUGGCUGUAGGAUAUUUGGUGAUAGCAUUAACAGUUCUCUCCUUGGUGAGCAUAUUAAAAUCAAUUCAACUAUCCUUUCUGAAGAAUAGAGCUGGGUGCUAAGGAGAAUGCCAUCACCAGGCAGGCUCUGUGCAUGCCCUGUAACAGUUCGUGAUAAGGAAACAUGGAAUUCAAUUCAAUGAAGACACAGAAAGGAAACACGGAAUUCAAUUCAAUGAAGACACAGACCUUCCCCCACCUGCUGCAUCAAAGUUGGAAUUAAUCACUAUUUCAUGUGAUAUAGAUUCCUAUAUAAUUUUGAAUGUACAUUGAGUAAAAGGAUUGGAAAGAUCUUUUUGGCUGGCUAAACAUGAGGUGUUCUAAUACUAUUGUACCUGCAAAGUUGUCAAGAAUUUAUUUCAGAGAAGAUUUGAAAGCGUUUGCAAAGUCGUGUUGUAUUAAACAGAUAUAAAUGUAGUCUUUGUUUAGGAACGUUUCUUUGAAGGGGUCUGGGUAACAUCCUACCUGUCCUGGAAGCAUGGAAAAUUGUGAUAUGUGCUAACUAUAAUCAAUGGAAUCUGUGAGAUUACCAAAGCACCUGGUACAAGGAAAUUCUCCAGGGACAACCAACUCUGGACAAUGCCCCUCACUCUCUCAGCCUUAAUGUGUCAGCAGCAAGCCUUGCUUUAUAUGACAUUCUGAAGGAAACGGACGGAUGUGUCAUCAUUGAAUCACUGAGAACUAUAGCCCCAGCAUGAUCUCAACUAUGAAAAUACAGAUUAGAAAAUUGAGGUUCAGAUCGGAUAAGCACCUGCUCACACGCAGCUAGUAAAUAGUGGAGCCAGGAUUGGAACCCAAGUAAUUAAUUCAAGAGCAUCAACCAGAAGGCUAUGCUGCUUCUCACAAAUACAGAUGAGGGGAGUGAGGCACAGAGGUAAUGGAAGGUGCCAUUAUGGAAAGCCUAUUACACAGCAGGUCCCAUCCGUGGGUGUCUUCCAUGGUGACAGCAGUGGUGAGCAGUGGACUCCUGGUACCAUCUUGGGAAGAAAGGAAGUGAACUGGCAAACUCUUGGGAGGGCAGAAGCCUAACUCUCAUGUUUGUGCCCUUCACGAUAAGUGAAGAAAGGAGCGAAGAGAAGAACAGGGUGGCCACAAACAAAAGCUGGAAUUGUUUGAGAAAUGGACCCUUUUCAGAAGCCUUCAAAGCCACCCUUUCACAAAGCCUGGCAGGCAUACAGUAUUGAGCCUGGGUGUCCGCCAAGCAUGGCCUUAAUUUAUUAUUGCCAAACUGUUUGUUGUCUUUAUUUGCCAAGACUUACUAAUCGAACGUUUUUUUGGUCUGGCUGCCCUUCCAGAGAACUGGAGCUAUUGUUAUCUGCUCCUCGAGUCCUUCCACAGAAUGUGCCAAAAACUUGACCCGAGUUGUGGCUGAUUUCCCUCCUCUGUUCAGGCUGUGAACCACAUGAGUGUUGAGAUCCACCCAAGUCCUUAUGGUGGUUAAAGCAGAGCAUCUGAAGUCAGACAGACUUGGAUUUCAAUCCUCUUUCUACCUUCACUAGACACGUGUCUUUGGGCUAGUUACUUUACCUCUCCUCGCCUCAAUUUUCUCUAUUGUGUAAUAUGAACAAUGUACCUACCUUGUAGGAUUGUUGUGACAAUUAAAUAACGAAUCAAGGAAGGCACUUUAUAUAGUCCUAACACAUAUACUCAUUAUUUUGUUGUCGUUGUUAUCUCCAGCACUUAGCCCAGUGCCCUGCAAAUAUAUGCAAAUAGAUGAAUGAGUAAUUGAGUCAUCUUCUCUCACCUUCCUUACCUCCACAAUGGGACACUGGCUCUACAAAGUAAUCCUCACUAGGAUGAAAACAGUCUCUUCUUAUUCCUGGACGAAGCCUUAGUUUCCACAGAGGAGGUCUUCUAUGCCUACAGGAAAUUGACAGGGGUCCAAACAGGACAAAUAAGUGCAAGACAAAUAGAGGCUGACCUCAUUUCCACCCUUGAGACUCCUAUUAGCCUGAUAUGAAAUGACCAUGUGGGGAGGCAGCAAGGUUCCUGUCCCAAGGAGACCCAUGAUGCUGUUCAUCAGCUCCAUUCUGGACCAUCUUCCCCAGUUCUGCUUCAGAGAAGUAGUUCUUUCUUCUUAAUGGCUGUCACCUGCCAAAAUACUCUCCACCCCAUUCCUGAGUCUUGGGCACUUCCUCCACACUAGGAACCUCUCCCAGAUAGUCCCGUUGCCUGUUAGGCAACUUCUUUCGAUCAAUGUUAAAAGCCUUUGGACUCCUCCCUAAGUACCUCACCUCCUGUCCCCACCUACUUCUGAGCGACCUGGCAAAGACCACAUCUGUGAAUCAGUUUGCUAACUCUUAAAAGGGGUGGGUGAGGGCGAAGCUUUGACAACCUGAUUUCUCACUGUGUUUGCUUUUGAGGGAGGAGUUCACAGUGAAAGAAAGCAUCACUUUAAGCCUCUAAAGAGCCCCUUGGUAUAUGAAGCAGGAUUCACAUAGAGCCUGAGAACCGCUAAGCAACCAGGAAGACACUGAGUGAAGAGAAAGCUUAGAAGCAGGAAGGGGUCAAGUUCAUUUAGCAUAGAGUUCAUGGCUCCAUUUUAACAACUGGUUCCUAAUAUGCCUAAGGUUAGCAAGCAUCUCAGGGCUUGCUUCAAACAAAAUCUGAAGCCAUUCCCCUUAUUGAAAUCUAUUAUUGCUUCAUUGAUUGACGUUCUUAAUCCUCAUAACCAAAAAAAGCAAUUAUUGCCUUUAUGGAGUUUCUUUGUUCAGUUAUGUACAUAGAAACGUGCCUUCCCUGAUGACAAUAUACAGCACAGAUCAAGGCAAUGUAAGAUUAAAGUGAUCUGGACCCAGAAGAACUAAAGCUAUAAGCAUCAGAGAGCAUGAGGGACAGAGCAUUGACCUUAUUUUUUUUUAAUCAUGAAAAAGACUCCCCAUUUUCUGUUUUUUUGUUUUUUGUGGUACGCGGGCCUCUCACUGUUGUGGCCUCUCCCGUUGCGGAGCACAGGCUCCGGACGCAUAGGCUCAGCGGCCAUGGCUCACGGGUCCAGCCGCUCUGCGGCACGUGGGAUCUUUCCGGACCGGGACACGAACCCGUGUCCCCUGCAUCGGCAGGCGGACUCUCAACCACUGCGCCACCGGGGAAGCCCCCAUUUUCUGUUAUUUUAAUAUUAGGGACUUAUAACAACUAUUUCUACUUUGUUGAAAUU